GAACUGCUUUUGCAAUAAGUAAAGUCAAUGAAGAAAGUAAGAGGAUUGCAAAGGUUUCCCCCGCUGAUUCUGCCAACAGAAAUGUUUUUAUUGUGCUGCUUUGGGCGUGGAAAAAAAACAGUGAAACAUUUCCAACUACAAUUUAAAGGAAUGCAUGUCAUUUAUUUAAAACAUAAAUCAGCAAACAGAGAGACAUAAAAUUACUAGUGGACUGCUUCAAGUUCAGAAGCCACUGCCCUGGUAGAGGAGUUACCAACGAUCACACAUCCUAUAGGAAUCCAACUACAGUGGCCCUGAGCUGAAACAGCAUGCGUUCCAUGCUCCUUUGCAUAAUUUGCCUACUUCUUCUCAUAUUUUGUAAAUAUAAAAUCUACUUCUGGU
rnacentral:lncRNA from 1 species